CUGACGAGCGGCGGACGGGUGAGUAAUGCAUAGGAAACUGCCCAGUAGUGGGGGAUAGCCCGGGGAAACCCGGAUUAAUACCGCGUACGCCCUUCGGGGGAAAGCAGGGGAUCUUCGGACCUUGCGCUAUUGGAUGUGCCUAUGUCGGAUUAGCUAGUUGGUGGGGUAAAGGCCUACCAAGGCGACGAUCCGUAGCUGGUUUGAGAGGAUGAUCAGCCACAUCGGGACUGAGACACGGCCCGA
rnacentral:rRNA from 1 species